CGUCGUCUUCUAUUUUCCGGUACAGUCGGCCGGCAACUGCGUUUGUAACUUCGCUGUUCCCGCCGUUCACUCGUCUUCGUAUGCUAUUUCGAUUUUUCCCUACGCGAAUUGCGGUACGCAGUCCCGGACCCGUCCGUACAUUCGCCGCGUAUCCUACAGGAAUGUGAUCUUUGUAAUAAUUGUAAUUGAUACGUUCCGCGUUCGUACCGUUCUAAAACCCAAACAUCCUCGCGCCGUGCUCUGCGCGAUACACGACGAACCCGCGCGUUCCCCGAUGUCUGAUGAUGUUCUCGUUCCGAAGCGGUGAACGCCAAAUUCUAAAAUUCGAG